GGAAUAUUGGGAUCGGGGCGUGUCAUUCCUUCUCUCCGAUCAAAUUCUUCUCCUUCCCAAAUUUUUUGCUCAAAUCUAAAAAAUUCCAGGAGCGGAGCGGUAUUUAAAAUGUGCGAGCUCUGCUUCCAGGCCUCCCCGAAACGCUUGCAGAAAGAAAGGUGCUUGGAUGAGAGUGGACGUAGGAGCAGGGAGUGUUGCGAGGAGGGGAAGUAGUACCAUCAUCUGCUGUGUUGCAGUAGUGAAGUGAUCAGACGUCGGUAUGGCAUCUGCUAGCCAAGGGAAUGGUGGAGUUGGCAUUUCAAGGUUAACCUCACUGCAAGUGUUAACCUCACACUGUAUGGGAUUAUGAAAAGGAGGGGCUUUCUUUUGCUUUGCGUUGCAAGGUACAGAGGGAGACUUAAUUUACUAUAUUAGCCUUAUGAGUUUACGGACCUUCUAAUAUUUCAUAGCGGGCCUGGAAGUGAUUUUCCGGGAACGGGAAAGGUAAUUGAGAUUAGUCUUUGAUUGUUUGAUCAUCCUCUAUAUAUUUGAUGAAGCUUCAACUAGCGUCUACCACACAACCCCUCAUUUCUUUAUGGUAAUUGAGCUUCAUCUCUAAUUGUUUAUUGUCUGAUUAGAUUAUUAUAAUAUUUGGGUUGUUGGAUAUGUUGGAUUUGAAUUGAUUUUUUGUUUUCAUUUUUCAUGGUGAUGGAUUUUCGAAUGAAAUGCAUACAACCCUGAAUUCCAGUGGGGGUGGCUGAAGCAGCUGCCGGAUAUGACUUAUGGCAGCCAAGGGGAUCACUACACUUUGGGAGUCAAAAUGACCACACUACCCCGUUAAUGGUUCAGAUCUUGCCGUCAGGUGAUAUGAGAGUGGGGG